GAUGACAAUAGCUAAUCGCAGAAACCAACUGAGUCAGAAUAGCCGCGGCAGCCGAUUCUGACAACGACCCAGAUGAAACCCUUUCGUAUAAAUCACUAUUCGGGCAGAAAUCGGUUACCAUGUGAAGGAAAUCGUCAUCUUCAUAAACCUUGUAAAGAUGGAGAAUGUUGGGGUUACCGGAAAGGAGUUGAAGAAUUUUGGGUUCUUUAUCGAGACACUCACGGUCGGUGGAAUCAAUGAGGAGGUUUUUGUCGAUAGAUUUACAGGCGAAGGAUUCUCCGGUCGCCGGAGAAAAGCAGCGGUAGACGGUACCGAAUCUACCACGGCCGAUUUCUUCGCAAAUUUGAAAUUCG